rnacentral:rRNA from 1 species
GACGAACGCUGGCGGCGUGCCUAACACAUGCAAGUCGAACGAAGCAUUUGGAGCUGAUCUCUUCGGAGUGACGCGCCUUAUGACUUAGUGGCGGACGGGUGAGUAACACGUGAGCAACCUGCCUCUCAGAGUGGAAUAACAGUUGGAAACGGCUGCUAAUACCGCAUAACGUCAUUUUGCCGCAUGACAGAGUGACCAAAGAUUUAUCGCUGAGAGAUGGGCUCGCGUCCGAUUAGGUAGAUGGUGGGGUAACGGCCUACCAUGCCGACGAUCGGUAGCCGGACUGAGAGGUUGAUCGGCCACAUUGGGACUGAGACACGGCCCAGACUCCUACGGGAGGCAGCAGUGGGGAUAUUGCACAAUGGGCGCAAGCCUGAUGCAGCAACGCCGCGUGCGGGAAGACGGCCUUCGGGUUGUAAACCGCUGUCCUUGGGGAAGAAACAAAUGACGGUACCCAAGAAGGAAGCCACGGCUAACUACGUGCC